rnacentral:rRNA from 1 species
AUGCUUUUGACGGGUAACGGGGAAUUAGGGUUCGACUCCGGAGAGGGAGCCUGAGAAACGGCUACCACAUCCAAGGAAGGCAGCAGGCGCGCAAAUUACCCAAUCCCGAUACGGGGAGGUAGUGACAAGAAAUACCGAUUCAGGAUCUUAUUGGAUCUUGAGAUUGGAAUGAGUACAAUUCAAACCCAUUAACGAGGAACAACUAGAGGGCAAGUCUGGUGCCAGCAGCCGCGGUAAUUCCAGCUCUAGUAGCGUAUAUUAAAAUUGUUGCAGUUAAAACGCUCGUAGUUGAACUUUGGGCUUGGCUGGCUGGUCCGCCUCACCGCGAGCACUGGUCCGGCUGGGCCUUUCCUCUUGGGGAUCCACAUGCCCUUCACUUGGGUGUGUUGGGGAACCAGGACUUUUACUUUGAAAAAAUUAGGGUGUUCAAAGCAGGCAUUUGCUCGAAUACAUUAGCAUGGGAUAAUAGAAUAGGACGUGUGGUCUUAUUUUGUUGGUUUCUAGGACCGCCGUAAUGAUUGAUAGGGAUAGUUGGGGGCAUCGGUAUUCAAUUGU